rnacentral:tRNA from 1 species
GGGGCAUUAGCGCAGUUGGUAGCGCGUUUGAAUGGCAUUCAAAAGGUCAGGGGUUCGACUCCCCUAUGCUCCA